rnacentral:tRNA from 1 species
GGGGUUGUGGCUCAGUGGUAGAGCACUUGCCUAGCAAGUGUCAGGCACUGGGUUCAAUUCUCAGCACCG